GUGGGGAAUCUUGCGCAAUGGGCGAAAGCCUGACGCAGCCAUGCCGCGUGAAUGAUGAAGGUCUUAGGAUUGUAAAAUUCUUUCACCGGGGACGAUAAUGACGGUACCCGGAGAAGAAGCCCCGGCUACCUUCGUGCCAGCAGCCGCGGUAAUACGAAGGGGGCUAGCGUUGCUCGGAAUUACUGGGCGUAAAGGGCGCGUAGGCGGACAGUUUAGUCAGAGGUGAAAGCCCAGGGCUCAACCUUGGAAUUGCCUUUGAUCCUGGCUGUCUUGAGUACGGGAGAGGUGAGUGGAACUCCGGGUGUAGAGGUGAAAUUCGUAGAUAUUCGGAAGAACACCAGUGGCGAAGGCGACUCACUGGCCCGUUACUGACGCUGAGGCGCGAAAGCGUGGGGAGCAAACAGGAUUAGAAACCCGGGUAGUCC
rnacentral:rRNA from 1 species